rnacentral:rRNA from 1 species
GCAAGUCGAACGAGAAAGUCCCUGCUUGCAGGGACGAGUAUAGUGGCGCACGGGUGAGUAACACGUGGAUAAUCUACCUUCAAAUCAGGAAUAACUGUUCGAAAGGGCAGCUAAUACCGGAUAAAGUUUUGAUGACUCAGGUUGUUGAAAUGAAAGGGAGCCUCUGAUUUAAGCUUCUGUUUGGAGAUGAGUCCGCGUACCAUUAGCUUGUUGGUGGGGUAAAGGCCUACCAAGGCGACGAUGGUUAGCUGGUCUGAGAGGGUGGCC